UAGAACCCUAGGAGGGAAAUUGUGAUUCAGGAUUUCAGGUACACUGUUCUUAUAUCUCUCUCUCUCGCACACACACCAUGGGCGUUUGAACUGCAAUUCAAAUUCUACCUCCCAUCAAAUCUCAAAGUCAAGCAGUAUCAAUGGACAGCGACACCGAAGAGUCGCUUAGGAAGAGGCAAAAGAGGAAUCCAUUUCCUGGAGACUCUUCUCGCAAGCAUCUUGAACUGACUCCGAUGCGCCAAUACCAAGUAAUGGGAGAAGUGAAUUUCUUGCAAGAGGAAGAUAUUCGGUUGGAGACUACACGAGCUAGAUUUGCAAAUGCUCUCAAGAGGCAUGCAGAAUUGGCCGAGCGUUUUUCUAGGGAUUCUGAUAAAAUGAUAUUUGAGCGCCUACAGAAAGAAUUUGAAGCUGCACGCGCAUCUCAAACUCAAGAGCUUUAUUUAGACGGUGAAGAAUGGAAUGAUGGACUACUAGCUACAAUAAGAGAGAGGGUUCACAUGGAAGCUGACAGAAAGCAAAUGCAAGGAGACUCAAAUAUGGUGCCAGAUCAUCAUGAAGAAAAAAGUACAUAUAGAGCUGGAAACAAGGUGAUUUGUUGCUUAGAAGGGGCAAGAAUUGGCAUUCAAUAUGAGACAUCUUUUGCAGGAGAUCCUUGUGAGCUGUACCAUUGUGUACUUGAGAGCAAGUCAUUUCUUGAAAAGAUGACUGUCCUUGAACAUACCAUUCCUUUCUUUCUGCCAAUAAGAGAAGCAGAAAAUGAUCUUCUUUCUUCCAAUGCUAUGCGAUUUAUAGAUUAUGUUGGAGAACUUCUGCAGGCAUAUGUUGAUAGACGGGAACAGGUACGGCUUAUUAAGGAGUUGUAUGGAAAUCAAAUUGGAGAGCUGUAUCAUAGCCUUCCCUACCAUAUGAUAGAAUUUACACUGGAUGAUUUUGAUUGGUUGCAAGGUGACUGUUGGUCUUAGAUAUGCGGACCUUGUAUCUGUACUUCCAACUCGAGUCAAAGUAUUUGCUUGGCCAAUGAACCAAUUCAAGAAAAAUGGAGCUCUCGGAACUCACCCAGGUCCUGUUCGCCUAUCUUAUGCUGAGGAUGCUUUAAGAACCAUGAGUUUACCAGAAGCUUAUGCAGAAAUUGUAUUGAAUCUGCCUCAAGCCAUUCAGCAAAUGUCUGUAGAAACAAGCCCCAGUUAAUGCUUUAAUAGUAUUUUAAAUAUGAAAGCAGCAAGCACCACCCACUUGCUGGAAUGAGGCCUUUCUGAACUCUUGGUCUAUUAAUGCUCUGUCCGUCUCUUUCAUUUGAAGUGGGUUGAAGCCCAAGCAUCUGGUACCAAAGGUUCUGCCACUCCUGAACCAAAUUCCAGUUUACAAAGCUGUAGCAUGUAGUGACUCAAAACUGUUGCUUAGCAUAGAAGACCUUGGUUAAUCAUGAUUCCCUCACAGUUGAGUUGUGAAUUAGUACCAUAUGAGUGGAAAUGAACUGGGUUUCAUCACUUUGUAUAGGCAUUAUGAUUAAAUGGAAGCAUAUAGCUAACAAACAAUUCAAAAUUUUGCCAUUACCUCAUUCGUGAGCCAUUUGGACAUCAAAUUGUUUCGUUGUGGUUUGGAUGUCACAUCAAUGGGCAAGUUAUGUUAUAUUUACUCUCA